CCAAUUCUAGACAUGCACCACUUCACCUUAACCCAUGGUUACUUGGAAUAGUUUCCCCAAGACAAACGGUGAUAUUAUAUGAUAUGAUAUAUAUAUAUAUGUCCUUUGAAGUGCAUAUCCAACCCAAUCUAAAUGAGUUGUCUGUAGAUAGACAGCACCUUGGGGCGUGACAGUGAACCUGGUCUCGCGCACAGCGGCGUUUCUCUCCUGCUGAACACGCGACGCUCGAACGUUUCCUGUUUCGGAACAUUUAAAAGAAAAACAACCGUUAUUUUCAAGAGGAGGUCAUCUUUCUAAAGACUGUAGAAGACAUUAAUCCAAUUCCAAAGAUGAUUUCCAAACUGAGCCACAGCCUGAGGAGCGCUGCCCCGGCCCUGACCAGAGCUGUCCACUCUGGGACGCGCCCCGCCUCCACCGCUGCCUCCAAACAGAAGAUGGACCAACCGCUCACCGCUGAGGAGGUGUAUGCCAGAGAGGAGAAGUAUGGAGCACACAACUACCACCCACUUCCUGUGGCGCUGGAGAAAGGAAAGGGUCUGUAUGUGUGGGGCGUGGAGGGCAACAGAUACUAUGACUUCCUGAGGGCCUACAGUGCAGUGAACCAGGGCCACUGUCACCCCAAGAUCAUCGCUGCUCUGAACGCCCAGGCCUCCAGGCUCACCCUGACCUCCAGGGCCUUCUACAUACGACAUCCUGGGGGCCUACGAGCAGUGACAUCACCACCCUGUUUGGAUACCUGACAUAUACUGCCCAUGAACACAGGUGUGGAGGGAGGAGAGACGGCCUGUAAGCUGGCCCGUAAGUGGGCCUACACUGUGAAGGGCGUUCCCAAGAAUCAGGCCAAAAUCAUCUUUGCAAAUGGUAACUUCUGGGGGAGAACCAUGGCCGCCAUCUCGAGCUCGACAGAUCCUAGCAGUUACGAGGACUUCGGUCCCUUCAUGCCCGGCUUUGGGCUCAUCCCCUACAAUGACAUCCCUGGUCUGGAGAAAGCUCUCCAGGACCCUAACGUAGCAGCCUUCAUGGUGGAGCCGAUCCAGGGAGAGGCUGGGGUCGUGGUCCCUGACCCCGGAUACCUCACCACGGUCAGACAACUCUGCACUCGGAACAACGUGCUGUUCAUAGCUGACGAGGUGCAGACUGGACUGGCUGGCCCGUACAGGCAGACGGCUGGCCGUGGACCAUGAGGAAGUACGCCCUGAUAUCGUGAUCCUGGGAAAGGCUCUGUCAGGAGGCGUCUACCCUGUGAGUGUCUGCGGUGCUGUGGAUGAUGAGGUGAUGCUGACCAUCAAGCCUGGUUAGAGCAUUCUACGUACGGAGGAAACCCUCUGGCCUGUGGCGUUGCCAUGGCAGCUCUAGAGGUUCUGGAGGAAGAGAAGUUGGCGGAGAACGCUGAGAAGAUGGGCCAGUUGCUGAGGUCAGAACUGUCGAAGCUUCCUAAAGAGAUCGUCCCCAUCGUCCGGGGGAAGGGUCUCCUCAAUGCCAUCGUCAUCAAGGAGACUAAAGACUAUGAUGCCUGGAGAGUGUGCAUGCGUCUCCGUGACAACGGACUGUUGGCCAAACCCACCCACGGUGACAUCAUCCGUCUGGCCCCUCCCCUCAUCAUUAAAGACCACGAGGUCAGAGAGUGUGCUGACAUCAUCCAGAGAACCAUCAUGUCCUUCUAGAACCACCCGGGAACUUAUUCUAGAACUCAUUCUAGAACACUGGAACCAACAGUGACAGCCUUCUAAUCUAACUGAUCAGACAAACAACAUCUAUCAAUCUGCUGUGAACUAUCGUCUAUUGGAAUAUGUUACUAACUCUAAACAUUUAGCAAAUAAGUGUUAUUGUAUUGUAAGCAGUACUCUCUUAAGUUAAUUUACUCUUGAGAAUGUAUGUGGAGAAUUAUUUUUCGUUUUUCGUUUUCCACAGUACUGCCAUUUUGUCGUAAUGUCAAUCUAAGCAUCAUCCGAUCCUUAGAAGGUUUUCUCUUUUGAAGUGCUGGGACUGAAAUGAGUUUUACAGGGUAACACUGCUGCUCCGAAGCAACUUGGGAUGACCUUUAACACAGGGAUGUUUUUAACUCUUGCAUCUGCUUAGCUGGAAGACGGUUCAGAUACUGAUUUAAUUUUGUUGUUAAAUCUGGCAACUACUACUGCAGCAAAAUGUUUAAAAAAACUGUAAUGUGCUUAAACAAAACGUUUUUCACUUUCUAAAACAGAGCAGUGUUUUAAAAACAAAGAAACAUUUAAUUAUUUAAAUGUUAAAGUAAUUUAUUUGCUUGUUGGUGAAAUGAGCAAAAAUGUUUUACUGAAAGACAUAGGUAUAACCAAUAUGGAUAUUUUAAAGUAUUUAAAGGGAAAUAUUUUAAUACCACAAUAAAAACUAUGAAAGAAUUGAA